rnacentral:misc_RNA from 1 species
GAAGAAGAAGAAGAAGAAGAAAUUGAUCGAAAAGAUUCAUGUUGGCCAAUAAGGGUAAGCCUCGACAGUAACCAUUAUUGGUCUCUUAGUAUUGAACAAAGAAGAAGAAGAAGACUACUUGUAGAAAAUGAAAAAAAUAUGAAAAAUUUUAUUGAUUUAAGAUUGAGAUGACAAGAAAAUCUAAUAAAUGAAUUAAACGCCAUACAUGUAAAUUUUGCAUUUUAAUAAAUUAAUUAUUAAAAUAGUGUUGGAAUAAUUUAUUUUGCAAAAUAAAUAUGUAUUUCACCAAAAAUGAAAAAAAAAUAAUAAUUUUUCUUAGUCAUGACUCAUGAAGCUAAAGUAAUAUUACAUGUCAAAACAAAA